AAGAGUGAGGGUCUCCCAGGCCCGACCUCCCAACCCUUUGUUUACCAAACUAAUGUUGCUUCGGCGGGCCCGCUUCUGGGCCGCCGGGGGGCCCCAAGGUUCCCUGGCCAGCGCCCGCCGACGGCCAAACCCUAAACUCUUGCUUAAAACUGUGUCUUUAUACGUCUAAGUCCCAUGAUGCAAAUCAAUUAAACAA
rnacentral:misc_RNA from 1 species